rnacentral:rRNA from 1 species
UACGUAGGGGGCAAGCGUUGUCCGGAUUUACUGGGCGUAAAGAGCGUGUAGGCGGCCACGCAGGUCCGUUGUGAAAACUGGAGGCUCAACCUCCAGCUGUCGACGGAAACCGUGUGGCUAGAGUCCGGAAGAGGAGAGUGGAAUUCCUGGUGUAGCGGUGAAAUGCGCAGAUAUCAGGAAGAACACCAAUGGCGAAGGCAGCUCUCUGGGACGGUACUGACGCUGAGACGCGAAAGCGUGGGGAGCGAACGGG